AAAACUUCUUAUUUUAGGGACCUUUCACGCCUUUCUUGACUGAACUAAUGUAUCAAAACUUGAGACACCUGGUGGCAGAUUAUGCAGAUAGAGAAGAUACAGGCAGCAUCCAUUAUCUUCUGUUCCCACAACCAGAAGAAGAGCUAAUCAACAGAGAAGUGGAACGAAGAGUGGCUAGAAUGCAGACAGUGGUAGAAGCUGGCCGGCUUGUUAGAGAUAGGAAAACCUUACCCCUGAAAUACCCACUUAAUGAACUGUUUUUGUUAUAAACCUACA